rnacentral:rRNA from 1 species
UAUCUCUGUAGAGUCUGCAUAUCAAUAAGCGGAGGAAAAGAAACUAACAAGGAUUCCCUCAGUAACGGCGAGUGAAGCGGGAAGAGCUCAAAUUUGAAAUCUUCAAGGUUCUACCUUGACGAAUUGUAGUUUAAAGAAGUGUUUUCUGUUGAGAUUUGAGUAGAAAAGUUCUUCGGAAUAGGACAUCAUAGAGGGUGAGAAUCCCGUAUUUGGAUCAUUACUUCCUAGCUUUGUGAUACACUUUCAAAGAGUCGGAUUGUUUGGGAAUGCAGUCCAAAAUGGGUGGUAAAUUUCAUCUAAAGCUAAAUAUUGGCGAGAGACCGAUAGCGAACAAGUACCGUGAGGGAAAGAUGAAAAGAACUUUGAAAAGAGAGUUAAACAGUACGUGAAAUUGUCAAAAGGGAAGCGUUUGACACCAGUGUUGUUUUCUCGAAAAUCAAUUAAAAAAGGCAGGAUUUUGUGUUGUAUUGACUUUAUCAGCUUUCUGCACUCUUUUCUUGUCUUUUUUAAUGCACUUUUCGUUUAACAAGUCAACAUCAAUUUCUUUUGUUGUAAAAGGGUCAUUGGAAGGUGGCUUUCUUUUCGGAGAAAGUGUUUAUAGCCUUUGGCCUCUGCAAUCGGAGAGAUUGAGGUCUGCAGCGUAGAUCCUUCGGGGUUAGAUACAUUUGUGCUAAGUUAUAGCCUUUCAUAGACAACUUGUUGACUAUGAUCAGUCAUGUAGCUUACUCGCUUAUGCUAUUUUACCUACGCUUAGGAUGUUGACGAGACUGUCGAUCUC